UGGGGAAUAUUGGACAAUGGGCGCAAGCCUGAUCCAACCAUGCCGCGUGAGUGAAGAAGGCCUUCGGGUUGUAAAGCUCUUUUGUUGGGGAAGAAAAGCUUCUGGUUAAUACCCGGGAGUCCUGACGGUACCCAAAGAAUAAGCACCGGCUAACUUCGUGCCAGCAGCCGCGGUAAUACGAAGGGUGCAAGCGUUACUCGGAAUUACUGGGCGUAAAGCGUGCGUAGGUGGUUCGUUAAGUCUGAUGUGAAAGCCCUGGGCUCAACCUGGGAACUGCAUUGGAUACUGGCGAUCUGGAGUGCGGUAGAGGGUGGCGGAAUUCCCGGUGUAGCAGUGAAAUGCGUAGAUAUCGGGAGGAACAUCCGUGGCGAAGGCGGCCACCUGGACCAGCACUGACACUGAGGCACGAAAGCGUGGGGAGCAAACAGGAUUAGAUACCCUGGUAGUCCACGCCCUAAAACGAUGCGAACUGGAUGUUGGGUGCAACUUGGCACUCAGUAUCGAAGCUAACGCGUUAAGUUCGCCGCCUGGGAAGUACGGUCGCAAGACUGAAACUCAAAGGAAUUGAC
rnacentral:rRNA from 1 species